rnacentral:rRNA from 1 species
GGCUUAACACAUGCAAGUCGAACGCUCGUGGCAACACGGGAGUGGCAGACGGGUGAGUAACGCGUGGGAACCUACCCUUUUCUACGGAAUAACUGAGGGAAACUUCAGCUAAUACCGUAUACGCCCUACGGGGGAAAGAUUUAUCGGAGAAGGAUGGGCCCGCGUCUGAUUAGCUAGUUGGUGAGGUAACGGCUCACCAAGGCGACGAUCAGUAGCUGGUCUGAGAGGAUGAUCAGCCACAUUGGGACUGAGACACGGCCCAAACUCCUACGGGAGGCAGCAGUGGGGAAUAUUGGACAAUGGGGGCAACCCUGAUCCAGCCAUGCCGCGUGAGUGAUGAAGGCCUUAGGGUUGUAAAGCUCUUUCGUCAGGGAAGAUAAUGACGGUACCUGAAGAAGAAGCCCCGGCUAACUUCGUGCCAGCAGCCGCGGUAAUACGAAGGGGGCUAGCGUUGUUCGGAAUUACUGGGCGUAAAGCGCACGUAGGCGGACAUUUAAGUCAGGGGUGAAAUCCCAGGGCUCAACCCUGGAACUGCCUUUGAUACUGGGUGUCUUGAGUACGAGAGAGGUGAGUGGAAUUCCGAGUGUAGAGGUGAAAUUCG